rnacentral:rRNA from 1 species
UGGGGAAUUGUUCGCAAUGGGGGCAACCCUGACGAAGCAAUGCCGCGUGGAUGAUGAAGUAUUUCGGUACGUAAAAUCCUUUCGACAGGGACGAAACCGCAAGGUUGACGGUACCUGUAGAAGAAGCCCCGGCUAACUCCGUGCCAGCAGCCGCGGUAAUACGGGGGGGGCAAGCGUUGUUCGGAAUUACUGGGCGUAAAGGGUGCGUAGGCGGCUUUCUAAGUUGGAUGUGAAAACUAUGGGCUCAACCCAUAGCCUGCAUCCAAAACUGGAGAGCUUGGGUUCUGGAGGGGAAAGCGGAAUUCCUGGUGUAGCGGUGAAAUGCGUAGAUAUCAGGAGGAACACCGGUGGCGAAGGCGGCUUUCUGGACAGAUACCGACGCUGAGGCACGAAAGCUAGGGGAGCAAAC